ensembl:lncRNA
CAGAUGAAGUAGUUGGCUUACAGAAAAGGCCAGUGACACAGGGCCUUUCAAAGAUUUUGUGAAUCAUCGGCCCCAGCAUUGAAUGACAGAGCACUGCCAACAAACUUCCAGACAGACAGAUCAUUAAAAAAAAGAAUCAGAUGUGCUGGAGUCAGAGCAGAUCCCCACCAGCUGCAAUCUGUUCCAUAAUCAAGACCUCUACAAAUACUCAGUCCUGCCACUUGCACACUGGCAGAUCGUAAUCUCUGCUCAGUCAGUCCAUGUUUCUAGCCAUUUGUUCCUGUUGUGCCUGGUUUCCCUUGCCUGGCGCUGUUUUCCUCUCCGCUACAGUCUUGCCCACUCUGACUCUGCUCCCUGUCUCCAGUCCGACUUCUCAUCAGUCCUGCUACUCUGUCCUGGAUUCCCCACUCUACGCUCCCUUGGAUUCCCCUCUGGACCUGCUUACCCUGUCCUUACACCUCUCGCUCCAGCCUCAGCCUCCGCACCUGGUUUCCGGCAACCCGUCCGAGCUUCUCCUGGCCUGCACCCAAUCUUCCCCCCCGUGUUUCAAUAAAUACCUUGGUUACC